AACACAUCCAUCACACACAUCAUGAGAUAUUCAUGAGGAGCAGGAAAGCAGUGACCUUUCGAGCCGACUGCACAGCCGGCGAAUGGAGCUCAUGACUGCUCUGUGAUUGCCUCAGUGAAGAUGGAUUAAGGAUGCAACUCUAGACGAAUAGGCCUGCGUACAACAGGACUGGUCAUCGAUAAAAGGCUGGUUUUAUUUAUUUAUUUAUUUUUAAUAAUAGGGGUGACAUCAGAAUUAUAUAUAUAGCUUUUACUUAAACUCAAUUUUAACUAUUGAAUAUAGCACCAAAUCACAACAACAGUUGCCUCAAGCCACUUUAUAUUAUAAGGCAAAGACCCUACAAUAAUACAGUUUUACUCCUGGUGUAUUAGUUUUUUUUUAUUUAAAGGAACGGUAACAUGAAAGGUGGCCCUCAUAGUCAUGGAACAUGAACUAUAAGAGAUCCAUAGUGGAUUGCAGCCACAGCUAAUUAAACAUUUAUUCAAAUUUACAGUUAUAAAUCAGACCGGUGUGUCUGACACUACAGCAAAAAGUGGACAUUUUAAAAAUAUACAUCUUUGAAGACAUUUAUUUAAGCAGAGAUAUACUCAGGCACCAUCCAGAUGUAGAGGGGAACUAGCUAGAACCAGUUUUCCAGCUCCUGUCCUCCAAAUAAAUGCCAAAGAAAAUGCACUUCUGCCUCCCAGUGGCCAGAAGCGAGAGCAUACCCUGCCUACUUGCUCAACUUUGACUUGUACUCAUCUGUCUACAAGGAGGGGUGAUGGCGGUGGUGGGUCUUCAGUGCCUGCUCUACUGCUUUCGCCUUAAGCACUGCAUACUGAAUGCGACGCAGCAUCGAGCGAAUCAAAACCUGCCAGUUUCUUUUAAGCCUCCAGCUGUCCUGAAACACGAGGUGUGACUUGUUUCACCUCCAGCUGGGUUCAUUGGGUACAUAGAAGAAGCGGAUACAGGGGGAUAAUAGAAAUAAACAGUUCAAUACAUGGACCUGUUUACAUAUUGCAUGUUCCAAGAGAAUCCUUCAGUGUCCACACACUAAAUGCCAGAUUUUAUGCCUGUUUGUGAACUUUAACAACCUGCUUAACCGAACUGUGAUUUCUCAGUUCUUUAGUAAAAUCAUGGAGCCAUUUUUCUGUUUGAGUUCAAAACAUUUGGGACAAAAAACAAGUUAUGUAAGGUAACAGAAUGAAUAAUUACUAUUGCUCUUUUUGUGCAGCUGACAAAACACACAGUCUACUGCGUGUCUAUAUAAUUAUUCGUUCUUGCAGAGCACACAGACAAACACCUUUUACAAGUCACCUCACCUCAGGCGCACAUGCACAGACAUGCUGCAGGAUACAAAAGAACAUGGUGCUUCUGCUCGACUGACAGCUUUGGAUAUUUUAACUUCUCCGAUUGGACAUAUAAGGAACACAUGCAGACAGAUGCUGGAUGCUUUUCCCUCAGUGUUUUUAUUUUUAUUUUUUUAUUGCUUAUGGACUAAAUGAGUAACCCAGAUGCAGGAAGCAGAAAAGUACAGAAUGUAGCCCACACAUUUUCCAUUUUGGAAAAUUUAGAUAUGUAUAGACUGUGGCUGAGAACAGCAGCUGUCUUCCCAUCAUACAAUUUUUUUUCUUUUGAUGGUGCCGGAGAUCCACAGUGUUUUACACACUUUUGGGGUUAAACCAAGUACACUGAGCAAACUAAUGCUAUCUAUUUAAGACUGAAUAGUAAUGGAGUCGUCCUCAGGCUAAAUUCUGUUAGACUAUGCAGAGAAAUGUAAUAUCAGGACAGUUGGGUGACAGAUUGCACCAAGAAUUUGAGUCAAUUCUGCAGCGUGAUGUGUUUUUUUCCUCCCUUCUGGCCACAAAAUCCAGAGUUACACAACAGCUAUAAAAGCACAGCACCAAGAUGAACUGCUGGGAUGGUUACUAAUGAAAGCAACCAGAGAAGCCAUUGAGAGAACAGCCCAAAAGCUGCUUUUUCACAUCUGUGCAACGCUAACUGGUCCCAGCAAUUCAAUUCAAUUCAAUUCAAUUCAAUUUAUAUAGCACCAAAUCACAACAAUAGUCACCUCAAGGUAUUUAUAUUGUAAGGUAAAGACGCUACAAUAAUACAGAAACCACAAUAAUAAGACGACCCACUAUGAGCGAGCACUUGGUGACAGUGGGAAGGAAGAACUUUCUUUUCUGGAAGAAAGCC
ensembl:lncRNA